rnacentral:rRNA from 1 species
GGUAGAGACAUGCGAGGAGCCGGGGUAGCAGGUAGGGGGCGAUCGUGGGUCGGAAGCAAUGGGCGUAAAGCGGUGGUAGGCGGCCGGGAAAGUCCGGGGUGAAAGUCAAAGGCUCAACCGUUGAAUGCGCCGGGAAACGGUCUGGAGAGAGUCCGGAAGGGGCGAGUGGAACUCCUGGUGUAGCGGUGAUAUGCGCAGAUAUCAGGAAGAACACCUAUGGCGAAGGCAGCUCGCUGGGACGGUACUGACGCUGAGACGCGAAAGCGUGGGGGGCGAACAGGAUUAGAUACCCCGGUAGUC